UGGAGAUGGAAUUCUCAUAUCCAGCAGGCACCAGGCUAGUUAUGGAUCUGUUCUUGUCACGUGCAUGCACAUGCAAUAGGACACAGAUUAAGCAUUUGGGCCUUCAACCAAGUUGAUGAUGAACAGAUUACUCAGUAAUCUCAGAAGCCAUUUAAAAUUGUGAUACAAAGCCUGGCGGAAGAACUUUCUGUGGUGCUCCUGCGGCAAUCCCAUGCUGCUCAAAGAUCAACCCUUUUUGACCAUUUCAUAGAUGAAAAGCCUGUGCACAAUAAACCACACAACGUCAAGUGCAGACAAUACCCCCUUGCAGCAAUGCCUCGACAUGGAAUCGGUAAUUUUUCAAAAUCAAAGACGCUGAAAAGAAUACACGAACUUGUGA